rnacentral:rRNA from 1 species
UACAGAGGGUGCAAGCGUUAAUCGGAAUUACUGGGCGUAAAGCGUGCGUAGGCGGUCUGUUAAGUCCGUUGUGAAAGCCCUGGGCUCAACCUGGGAAUUGCAGUGGAUACUGGCAGGCUAGAGUACGGUAGAGGAUGGUGGAAUUCCCGGUGUAGCGGUGAAAUGCGUAGAGAUCGGGAGGAACACCCGUGGCGAAGGCGGCCAUCUGGACCAGUACUGACGCUGAGGCACGAAAGCGUGGGGAGCAAACAGG